AGAAGGCUUCAUUUGCUCUGAGUUAUCAUUGAGAACUAAAUGGAGAAGAAAAGAACUGAAGGCCUGAAGAUAUGUCAUCUGUAGAAAAGCCCCAUCCUUCUGCAGGUGGCCUCUUCUCAAGCUUUCUUGGCAAAUCAAGAGCUUCUGCCUUUGGGAGGACAUGCUCUUGACCUCCCACCCAUAUCAGCUCUUAGAGGACAUUCCACGGGAACAUUGCCUUCUUGUCCUCCAGUAUUUUUUAUGGAAACAGAAAUUAGGUUAUCUUCCUUAUGCUCUAGAUGGACAUCUGAAAUCAUCAAACCCUUGAGAGAAACAGCCCUCAUUCUUUUAUGAGACAACCUGGAAGAACACAGGACUCUGAAGAUUUGUCUCCAUAUUCUCUGGAAAGAUGUACUCUGUUUGCAAUAAGAGGGAGCCACAUGGUUUAUUAGAUGGUUAUUAAUUGAGCAUUCUGUGCAAAGAAGUUUGUGCCUUAGAUUUAGAAUUCCACCCUCAGUUGGAAUACAGAUGAUCCCUAACAAGUCACAUGAAAAAAUGAAUUGUGGAGCCAGAAGAGUGAGUUCUUGGAGAACUAAGGGCCAGAGACCUGUGAGCAAGAUUUGAUAAUUUUAUAAAAAUUAAAAGACGAUUUGAAAUGUUAUUGGUCUUACAAAAACUUUUACUUGUGAACUGCAAUUGAUGACAUGA
rnacentral:lncRNA from 1 species